rnacentral:lncRNA from 1 species
UUAGGAUUUGAUUUAGGAUUAGGAUUUGAUUACGGUUUGGUUUAAGGUUUAGGAUUAGGAUUAGGAUUUAAUUAGGAUUUGAUUUAGGAUUAGGGUUUAUUUAAGUUUUGAUUAGAAUUUUAUUUAAGGAUUAAGAUUUGGUUUAGAAUUUAGGAGUUGGUUAGGAUUUGAUUUAAGAUUUAGGAUUUGAUUUUGGAUUUAGGAUUUGGUUUACGGUUUAAAGUUUAGUUAGGAUUUGAUGACGAUUUGAUUUUAGAUUUAAGAUUUUAUUUGAGAUUAUUUAAGAUUUAAGAUUUAGUUAGUUUUUGGCCUAAAAUUAGAAUGAAGUAAGAUUUCAACUAGGAUUAAAUUAAGAUUGAAUUGAGAUGUAUUUGAGAUAUGUUUGUAAUCAUUCUAAUAUUUCUUUAAGAUUUCUUUUUAUUUCUAUGAUAUUCCCUUGAGGUUUCUUUGAAUUUGAUUUAAGCUUAUUUAGCAUUGUUAGAAUUCAAUUAGAAUUAGGAUUUUGUUGUUGCAAUUUUCAUUCUACCUUCCA